CAGACCUUCAUCAUGGCCUUUGUCAUGAUGAGAACGUGAUGUACUUAUGAGUACUGCAUGCUGGCCACAUGUAUGUCUCAUGUACUCUAUGACGUCAGUGCUGUUCUAGCUUAUAAGCUGCUACUGCACAUGCAUUAGCAAUCAUUCUAUGUACAAUCAAUGUAGAACCAUUCUACAUCCGCGUUACUUUAUCAUUAAAGAACCCAGCUUUACACCUUUGCUUGUGCAGAUAGCUUAACAUGCCGGCUACUGCGGCUCGUAUUUAAUGUUUCAGCGCUUCUGUUCAAUAAGACCGUAACUCCCCACCGGAUGUUUCUCGAACAUACGGUUUUCACGUCCAUGUACAUGCAUCGAAUCCGGCAACAAAUGUUAUGAUAUUCCGAAAAAAAUUCUUUGGCAACAUCGGGAUGGGAAAGUUUUCGUGACGUACACAAAUUUGAUCACCAUGUGCCGGCCUACCAGGCUAUUAAAAACAUCGCAAUACUGCUCACCCGAGAUUAUGUGCCUAAAAUGUAUGGCGCGAUUGUGGGUGACCGCGUUGGCAACGUAUUCAACCAGCGGUUUCUGGAGCGCCAGAUUCUGCUCAAACUGAUCCCACAGCUGAGUUUCCAGCGAAGCGUCCGGGAGCCGGCAAGCCGCAUACGGAGGCGUCCGAUAGAGUCCAGCGCGCGAAACACCUCCAGCAGGAACACAAGAGGCAGCUGAGAGAUAGGCAUAUUGGCGGAAGAUCUGCGAUUCUUCGUUCUUUGUUCGGUGGAUGCGGAAAUGUGGCUAGAUGGGUCGAGAGCGGUGACGCGGCCAUGAUGGUCUUCGCCGCGAACAUAGGGCUAUGUGUACCUAUGCGUACAAACGAGCGGAACACAACACCUGAAGACCUUGACCUUUAAUCCGUGAAACACCUUCCCAGUACAACUACUCUAUGGUUAGAAGCUAGACUGCUGGUGAAGAGCGGACUGACUGACUGGCGGCCAGAAGGCCUCCUUAUAUAUGAGGAUGGCCGGCUGGGAUGGAGCGGGGCUUCGGUGGUGACUGUGCUGGAUGAAAGCGGUAUGACAGGAAGUGACGUAAAUCUAUUGUCACAUGAUGUAAUCGACCGCUCGCUGACCUUGACGGUGACUCCGUCACACAACCUAAGAAAUCUAGAUACCUAAGAAAUUUAAGGAAACAGAAGAAAGCUGUGAAGCCUAAGAAGCGGCAGACGGCAGACUCACACUUGAGCGUUGCGUUCAGACUGCACAGCAGUCUGAACGCAACGCAAUCUGCAGUCACUGCAGACUGCAGGAACUCCUCUAGUACGGUGUCGAUCAAGAACUGGGUAGGAUUAUGGACUGCGGUGCAAACGAUCAGCCGGACGACUACCUAGACAUGACGGCAUCAGCAAGGAGUUCGCUCGCGCGUUAACGACGGGUGGUUUCCCUGCCAGAGUGGAACCGAAAGGAUUGGCCUUAGUAGGUAACAAAAGACCGGAUGUAGUUACGCUUGUCCCAUGGGAACGUGGUAAACCACUCGCAAUAGACGUAACCUGUGUGAACACUCUGGCAACUUCAUAUCUGGACCGUACAGCCGUCAAUGUCGGUGCCGCAGCGGAACUAGCCGAAGCAAAAAAGCUCGCAAAACAUGCGUGGCUCCAGCCAAGGUACAAUUUUUUUGCCGCUGCCUUGGAAACAUACGGACCUAUGGGCGACGGAGCUAAGAAGCUGGUCGAUAAAACCGGACACCUCAUCGCGACCACUACCGGGCAAGCACGGGCGAAAGAAUUUUUCCGGCAGCGGAUCUCCAUACAGAUUCAAAGAGGAAAUGCUAUGUGCGUGAUGGGCACAAUACCGGAUCAGGAGAAAUUAGAGGAAAUUUUCUUGUUAUAGCCUGUGAAAACUGUAUUUCUUUUUUGUUGGUGUUUGUACUUCUCUGCCCUAGUUUACAUUGGGUAGAAGGUUAAGAAAUGAUGUGACUAGCGUCAAUUUAAAACUCCUCACCAUUCAUUCAUAGUAUCAGGAGCAGACAACCCGGUAAACAAGACUUCAAUGUCUGGUCGGUAAAAGAAAAAAA